rnacentral:rRNA from 1 species
AGUGAACGCUGGCGGUAGGCCUAACACAUGCAAGUCGAACGGCAGCACAGUAAGAGCUUGCUCUUACGGGUGGCGAGUGGCGGACGGGUGAGGAAUACAUCGGAAUCUACUUUUUCGUGGGGGAUAACGUAGGGAAACUUACGCUAAUACCGCAUACGACCUACGGGUGAAAGCAGGGGAUCUUCGGACCUUGCGCGAUUGAAUAAGCCGAUGUCGGAUUAGCUAGUUGGCGGGGUAAAGGCCCACCAAGGCGACGAUCCGUAGCUGGUCUGAGAGGAUGAUCAGCCACACUGGAACUGAGACACGGUCCAGACUCCUACGGGAGGCAGCAGUGGGGAAUAUUGGACAAUGGGCGCAAGCCUGAUCCAGCCGUACCGCGUGGGUGAAGAAGGCCUUCGGGUUGUAAAGCCCUUUUGUUGGGAAAGAAAAGCAGCAGGUUAAUACCCCGCUGUUCUGACGGUACCCAAAGAAUAAGCACCGGCUAACUUCGUG